rnacentral:rRNA from 1 species
GAUGAACGCUGGCGGCGUGCCUAAUACAUGCAAGUCGAGCGAACGGACGAGAAGCUUGCUUCUCUGAUGUUAGCGGCGGACGGGUGAGUAACACGUGGAUAACCUACCUAUAAGACUGGGAUAACUUCGGGAAACCGGAGCUAAUACCGGAUAAUAUUUUGAACCGCAUGGUUCAAAAGUAAAAGACGGUCUUGCUGUCACUUAUAGAUGGAUCCGCGCUGCAUUAGCUAGUUGGUAAGGUAACGGCUUACCAAGGCAACGAUGCAUAGCCGACCUGAGAGGGUGAUCGGCCACACUGGAACUGAAACACGGUCCAGACUACUACGGGAGGCAGCAGUAGGGAAUCUUCCGCAAUGGGCGAAAGCCUGACGGAGCAACGCCGCGUGAGUGAUGAAGGUCUUCGGAUCGUAAAACUCUGUUAUUAGGGAAGAACAUAUGUGUAAGUAACUGUGCACAUCUUGACGGUACCUAAUCAGAAAGCCACGGCUAACUACGUG